GGGAUGUUAACUUAAGUUUAAAGUGUUAGAUUUUUAAUCUAAAGAUGUUGUUCACAUUUCG
rnacentral:tRNA from 1 species